CUACUGGGGUUUCUAAUCCCGUUUGCUCCCCUAGCUUUCGCGCCUCAGCGUCAGUGUCGGUCCAGGAAGCCGCCUUCGCCACCGGUGUUCCUCCGGAUAUCUACGCAUUUCACCGCUACACCCGGAAUUCCGCUUCCCUCUCCCGAACUCAAGCCAAGCAGUUUCCCGUGCAGUUCCUCAGUUGAGCCGAGGGAUUUCACACGGGACUUGCAAGACCGCCUACGCGCCCUUUACGCCCAGUAAUUCCGAACAACGCUUGCCACCUCUGUAUUACCGCGGCUGCUGGCAC
rnacentral:rRNA from 1 species